UACGUAGGGUGCGAGCGUUGUCCGGAAUUACUGGGCGUAAAGAGCUUGUAGGUGGUUUGUCGCGUUGUUCGUGAAAUCUCACGGCUCAACUGUGAGCGUGCGGGCGAUACGGGCAGACUAGAGUACUGCAGGGGAGACUGGAAUUCCUGGUGUAGCGGUGGAAUGCGCAGAGUAUCAGGAGGAACACCGGUGGCGAAGGCGGGGU
rnacentral:rRNA from 1 species